rnacentral:rRNA from 1 species
UAACCAGAAAGCCACGGCUAACUACGUGCCAGCAGCCGCGGUAAUACGUAGGUGGCAAGCGUUAUCCGGAAUUAUUGGGCGUAAAGCGCGCGCAGGUGGUUUCUUAAGUCUGAUGUGAAAGCCCACGGCUCAACCGUGGAGGGUCAUUGGAAACUGGGAGACUUGAGUGCAGAAGAGGAAAGUGGAAUUCCAUGUGUAGCGGUGAAAUGCGUAGAGAUAUGGAGGAACACCAGUGGCGAAGGCGACUUUCUGGUCUGUAACUGACACUGAGGCGCGAAAGCGUGGGGAGCAAACAGGAUUAGAUACCCUGGUAGUCCACGCCGUAAACGAUGAGUGCUAAGUGUUAGAGGGUUUCCGCCCUUUAGUGCUGAAGUUAACGCAUUAAGCACUCCGCCUGGGGAGUACGGCCGCAAGGCUGAAACUCAAAGGAAUUGACGGGAGA